UACGAAGGGGGCUAGCGUUGUUCGGAAUCACUGGGCGUAAAGCGCACGUAGGCGGAUCUUUAAGUCAGAGGUGAAAUCCCAAGGCUCAACCUUGGAACUGCCUUUGAUACUGGGGAUCUUGAGUCCGGGAGAGGUGAGUGGAACUGCGAGUGUAGAGGUGAAAUUCGUAGAUAUUCGCAAGAACACCAGUGGCGAAGGCGGCUGACUGGUCCGGUUCUGACGCUGAGGCGCGAAAGCGUGGGGAGCAAACAGG
rnacentral:rRNA from 1 species